rnacentral:rRNA from 1 species
GUAGGUCACAAGCGUUGUCCGGAAGUACUGGGUGUAAAGGGAGCGCAGGCGGGAAGACAAGUUGGAAGUGAAAUCCAUGGGCUCAACCCAUGAACUGCUUUCAAAACUGUUUUUCUUGAGUAGUGCAGAGGUAGGCGGAAUUCCCGGUGUAGCGGUGGAAUGCGUAGAUAUCGGGAGGAACACCAGUGGCGAAGGCGGCCUACUGGGCACCAGCUGACGCUGAGGCUCGAAAGUGUGGGUAGCAAACAGGAUUAGAUACCCUGGUAGUCCACACCGUAAACGAUGAUUACUAGGUGUUGGAGGAUUGACCCCUUCAGUGCCGCAGUUAACACAAUAAGUAAUCCACCUGGGGAGU